UUCGUGGUUGAUGAUGCACACCUUUUUUUCCCCAUCUUAUCGACAAUGGUGAAAAAACCUGAAAGCUAAGCCAAUUGUGUCUGAAACCACGAU